rnacentral:lncRNA from 1 species
AAAUAUGGAUUAUUUCCUAGUCUAUAGGCCAUUUAGGUUUGAUCAUGAUGAUUGGACUUAGAAAAUUGAUGUGCAGCUAGAUAUUUACUCAUAAAGUGAGUGGGGCUCAAACAUAUUACGCAAACUUGUUGCGUAGAAAGAAAAGAUGGAUAGGGAGAGUGUUUAAUAGCCAUUAGAUGAUCUAGUCUAUGGGAUAGCUUAUCCAAUCUAUUAUCGAGAUCCAUCUUAGAUUGUUCUAAUUAUUCAGAUAUGAAAUCAAGGGGUCU